rnacentral:ncRNA from 2 species
CAUUACCGAAGAGGUCGCUGGAUUCAUCAGUAUCGGACGCGAGGCGAAACGGAGCCUGCGACCGCCCGCGAAAGGGGAUCCAGCCGAAAUCCCCGACGCCCGUGCACCGUCGGAGGUUGGGCGCGGGGCGAACAGGUUCGCGACUGUCGCGGCCAGCCGGCCGCGGAGCGCUGACGAUAAGA